rnacentral:rRNA from 1 species
UACGGGAGUGGCAAGCGUUAUCCGGAAUUAUUGGGCGUAAAGCGUCCGCAGGCGGUCUUGUAAGUCUGUUGUUAAAGCGUGGAGCUUAACUCCAUUUCAGCAAUGGAAACUGCAAGACUAGAGUGUGGUAGGGGCAGAGGGAAUUCCCGGUGUAGCGGUGAAAUGCGUAGAUAUCGGGAAGAACACCAGUGGCGAAGGCGCUCUGCUGGGCCAUAACUGACGCUCAUGGACGAAAGCCAGGGGAGCGAAAGGGAUUAGAUACCCCUGUAGUCCUGGCCGUAAACGAUGAACACUAGGUGUCGGGGGAAUCGACCCCCUCGGUGUCGUAGCCAACGCGUUAAGUGUUCCGCCUGGGGAGUACGCACGCAAGUGUGAAACUCAAAGGAAUUGACGGGGGCCCGCACAAGCGGUGGAGUAUGUGGUUUAAUUCGAUGCAACGCGAAGAACCUUACCAGGGUUUGACAUCCUGCGAAUCCCUUGGAAACGAGGGAGUGCCUUCGGGAGCGCAGUGACAGGUGGUGCAUGGCUGUCGUCAGCUCGUGUCGUGAGAUGUUGGGUUAAGUCCCGCAACGAGCGCAACCCACGUCUUUAGUUGCCAGCAUUCAGUUGGGCACUCUAGAGAGACCGCCGGUGAUAAACCGGAGGAAGGUGUGGAUGACGUCAAGUCAUCAUGCCCCUUACAUCCUGGGCUACACACGUACUACAAUGCUACGGACAAAGGGCAGCAAACUCGCGAGAGCUAGCAAAUCCCAUAAACCGUGGCUCAGUUCAGAUCGUAGGCUGCAACUCGCCUACGUGAAGGAGGAAUCGCUAGUAAUCGCAGGUCAGCAUACUGCGGUGAAUACGUUCCCGGGCCU